CUGCACUGCAGUGAGCAGUUAGAUAAGCUUGCAUAAGUACUUGCAGCCAGUUCUCAUGACCAUGUCCUGGAGGAAAUGAGCAUCACCUACUAUCCUGAUGUCCCAAGGCUAUGCAUGUGUACACAGAAUGUAUGUAAAGGAAAGGAGCUCUGUUUUCCUAGUGUGGAAAGGAAAUGAUUCUGACUUGAAGCAUACGUCAUCAGCAUCGGCAUCCCUUGCCCUUUGUUUCCAAACAUGACUCCUCAACUGAAAGACUUAUUUUGAGAUAUUUCCUGUUGAGUAACUGAUGGUGCUGCUGCUGAGAG